UAUUGGGCGUAAGAGCUCGUAGGCGGUUUGUCGCGUCUGCCGUGAAAGUCCGGGGCUUUACUCCGGAUCUGCGGUGGGUACGGGCAGACUAGAGUGAUCUUUGGGAGACUGGAAUUCCUGGUGUAGCGGUGAAAUGCGCAGAUAUCAGGAGGAACACCGAUGGCGAAGGCAUGUCUCCGGGAAUUAACUGACGCUGAGGAGCGAAAGCAUGGGGAGGGAACAGGAUUAGAUACCCUGGUAGUCCAUGCCGUAAACGUUGGGCACUAGGUGUGGGGGACAUUCCACGUUUUCCGCGCCGUAGCUAACGCAUUAACUGCCCCGCCUGGGGAUGUACGGCCGCAAAGGCUAAAACUCAAAGGAAUUGACGGGGGCCCGCACAAGCGGGAGGAUCAUGCGUAUUAAUUCGAUG
rnacentral:rRNA from 1 species